GAUGAACGCUGGCGGCGUGCCUAAUACAUGCAAGUCGAGCGAACGGACGAGAAGCUUGCUUUUCUGAUGUUAGCGGCGGACGGGUGAGUAACACGUGGAUAACCUACCUAUAAGACUGGGAUAACUUCGGGAAACCGGAGCUAAUACCGGAUAAUAUUUUGAACCGCAUGGUUCAAAAGUGAAAGACGGUCUUGCUGUCACUUAUAGAUGGAUCCGCGCUGCAUUAGCUAGUUGGUAAGGUAACGGCUUACCAAGGCAACGAUGCAUAGCCGACCUGAGAGGGUGAUCGGCCACACUGGAACUGAGACACGGUCCAGACUCCUACGGGAGGCAGCAGUAGGGAAUCUUCCGCAAUGGGCGAAGGCCUGACGGAGCAACGCCGCGUGAGUGAUGAAGGUCUUCGGAUCGUAAAACUCUGUUAUUAGGGAAGAACAUUUGUGUAAGUAACUGUGCACAUCUUGACGGUACCUAAUCAGAAAGCCACGGCUAACUACGUG
rnacentral:rRNA from 1 species